AGGGAUUUGUGGUUGCUAAUAAUUCUUCUGAAACUGCUUCACGUGGUUACCAAUACUAUGUUGGAAGCUAUAACUAUAAUAAUCGCUUCAACGCAAGUUCUAUGUUUCCAACACCAUCUGACUCGGUUACUCCUGCUUUAUCCUAUGUUACUGGUUUUGAUGGUUUGAUAGGAGCUUCAAGAAUGGUAUGGUAUAGCAUUAGAGUCACUUUCUUAUUUAUAUGAAAAAACAAUGCUUUAUCUUUCUAUUGAGGGAUUUAGUUCAUCAAAAUAUGUCAUUAAUUAUUGAGUAGUACUACACUAGUGCAACUAGGGGUUUAGUUCCGAGCAAUUAGCAAAAUCAUUCUAUGUUUUUAUUAGGAGCCUCUUGCACUAAACACUUAAUAAUUUCUGUUUUUAUUUUGUUUCCUGUUUCUAAGAUUUAUCUAGAACAAACAAUAUUUUCCACCUUUUCGUAUACUAACAUUUGAAAACGGAAAACAAAAUAAAAAGAAGGUGACAUACUUGUAAUAAUUAUUAUGAACUUUCAUAGUGAAAAAAGGGACUCUAGUAUACCACAUUGACCUAUAUUUCGAUAUCCUAGAGUGUCUUCCCACAGGUUAACAAUAAGUACCAUGAAGUUGCACCAUUUUCGCCUCAAGGAAAUAGUGGCCUGUGCCUGUGAUGCCACCCUUGAAGAAGAAGAAGAAAAGGACUGAGGACAAUAGUAAAGGAACCCCCAUGAGCUCAUCAGGUUAACCUAUUCAUUAUUCUCUUGGGUUUCAUAUAUUUGAUUCCGUACUAUUAUUUAUUAUGUAUUUCUAUAUAUAGUUUGAAAAUCAAUAAGUGAACGAGUCUUCCAUCUACAGCAAAAUGAAGCACUAUAUCCAAGACAAGAAUUGCAGGCCAUUCUUUAUAGCUCAGUGUAAAGCAGAUAGAUGUUGGUACAAAUUUUCCAUCAUCAAAAGUUUCAUAAUUCUAUAAACAAAUGGACAAAAGGAAACGC
rnacentral:lncRNA from 1 species